rnacentral:rRNA from 1 species
GAUGAACGCUGGCGGCGUGCCUAAUACAUGCAAGUCGAACGAACGCGCGCGUUGCUUGCUCCGCUGAUGUUAGCGGCGGACGGGUGAGUAACACGUGGGUAACCUACCUAUAAGACAGGGAUAACAUCGGGAAACCGUAGCUAAUACCGGAUACGAAUUUGAACCGCAUGGUUCAAAAGUGAAAGGCGGCGCAGCUGUCUGUUGCAGAUUGAUCCGCGGUUGAUUAGCUAGUUGGUGAGGUAACGGCUUACCAAGGCAACGAUGCAUAGGCGACCUGAGAGGAUGAUCGGCCACACUGGAACUGAGACACGGCCCAGACUCCUACGGGAGGCAGCAGUAGGGAAUCUUCCGCAAUGGGCGCAAGCCUGACGGAGCAACGCCGCGUGAGUGAUGAAGGUCUUCGGAUCGUAAAACUCUGUUGUUAGGGAAGAACAGAUGUGUAAGUAACUGUGAGCGUCUUGACGGUACCUAACCAGAAAGCCACGGCUAACUACGUG